AUGACUGUGUCACUGCGUUUUGUGGGUUUAAGGUGGACUUUAACCGGAGAGAAGCUGGAGGAGUGGAGAUUGUGCCUCCGAGAAGCAUGUGUCCAUCAAAGAGCUGUGCAAACCACGUUCUCUGUAUGUUAGAAUCCAUUAAUGUUCAUCUGUUGGAGGACUCCAGGGAAAAUGCAUGGACAGCAGAAGCCUUCUAUAGGACUAGAAAAUCGUUGGUCUUUUUCAAGAUUGAUGGCGUAGGAGGUAGCCUUAUGAGAGGGAGAAACGAAAGCGUAAAGUCUGCUAUUUUCUUAACCUUCCAGGUUCUUGAUGCUUUGGUCUUUUCCAACAGUUUUUUAAACUUUUCAAGUGGUCAGAAUUAUAUUCUUAGGUUCUCCAUGUAACAUUAAGAUCUGAAACUGAGUGAGGCUAAACCUGGUAAUUUUCUCUAUUUUAAGAUUUUGUUCUUUGAUCAUUAUAAUUCAGAAAUGGAGGAACUUUGGGAAUGCUUUUUAUUCGUUUUGCUGGUUGGAUGUCAGAUAGCUUCUCUUGUGAUCCUGGAACCUUUCAUUAGUUAUUGACUCAGUUUCUUGGAGACAUGACAUUUAUUAAAAAUCUUACACUUCAAGUUUUGUUUUCUAAUGGUACUGUUUUGCAAGGCAAUUAUAAUUGGUGGUUGUUUGUUGUACCAAGAUACUGUUGCCUCAUCUUUGGUUGUCCAAAUGCUUUUACUAAUCGUUUUUGAUGUCAUUGUCGAAUCGAAAUGGAACGUGCACAUGCUAUUGUUGACAAAUGCUGGUUCUUCGCCUUUACUCGUUAACUCGUCUGGUCCUUCAAUCUUCCUGAAGGUCAUAUAAUUAGGUUGGGACGGCCCAUCUUUCGUUUUCUGUCUAUCUGUUUACUGCUCCUACGUGCAUUAUGAUGGACUGGAGAUUACAAAAGUCGAAAGCGACCUGAGAAUAACAUCAACGAUCAAACCGCAUCUUGUUAUAUCAAGGGCUGAUAAAGCUAUCAGUUGAAUUUCUCUACUAAGAAUUUAUCUGUAUCUCCAACUAUAAUUUUCAGGCACCGUUCCUUAAACUUUUUCUUGAGCUACUAUAAGAUAGCAUGCCAUGUAAGGUUAACUUUCUCUGAUGGAUAAUACUGUUACAAAAUUUCACCAUUUCCUAAACUGUUCUUGGAGCUACUAUAGGUGCAAUUAUUAUUGCUCUCGUGAUAGCUAAUAUGCCAUGUUUGUUUAAUUUUCUUUGAUGGGUAAUAUUUGUAUUUACUGUUACAAGUGGUUCAACUGGGUUGACAACGUGGGAAAGAAAUCAAAACAGGUUCACUUCUGAUCUUUUCUAAUAACUUCUUUCCUGAUGUGCAACUAGUUUCUUAAGAAGUGGUUAUAAAGAGUUUGUAGUAAUAGAAAAUGACAGGUUUUGAAUGAUUGCAGUUUGUUGUUUUGUAAAAGAUACAUGUGAAGCUCUUGAAAGUAGCAGAACUUUUUGUUAGCAAGCAAAGCUCUGCUGUUAGCUACUUGGGCCACAUAUCAUAGAAACAAUUGGCAACCUAAGAAACUCCUGUUUUGUCAUCAACUGCUUUGUCCUCUACCAUGAACGUUUCCUGUUCUCGGAAAAAGAUUAUUAGCAUUUUAUCACUAAUGUUAGCCUUUCAAUGCCAAAGAUUGGUCAUUAAUUGUUUACUGUUGAGGAUUAAUCAGGAAAUGUUGGUUUUUGUUCCAAGACUCGCCUUCUUGAAUCUUGAUGGCUCCUGUGUUGAACAUGCAGAUCAGGAUUUGCUCUGUUUUGUGUUCGAAGGAAGUCUCUGAAGAACAAGGUACAUAUUAUAUAACAGGGUUCCAACGGAGAACCGUGCAAAUAACUUAUUUGGGACAGCAUCUACAAAAAAAAACAUACUCCGGCAAAAGAAAACAAUUCAACUACCUACACAUGGCUUAUUUAAGGCAAACAACACGAUUGGUAAACUUGUUUAGAACCGUUCUUCCUAGCUGCAUGUUUGUUGAUGUUCAUCGGAAACUGUUUGCUAGGCCCCGAAGAUGCAUCAGAAGCCAU